CGUCCACCGUCUCCCCAUCCCCCAGUCCCUCCUGCGGUGUGCCUCAGAUCUUGGAGGCGACCCACCGACGCGAUGCGUCCUCCCCGGAGAAGUCGUCGGCGGUGCCAACUUGUAGCCAUCGCUCACCUGUGUGGAAGGUGGUAGGAUUCCCGAUCUGAAGUUGGGAAGCCAAACUUGACGAUUUUUUCUGUUGUCUUCCACAUCAGUCAGCGGCCAUGCUGCUCUAGAGGAUUUGCUACUCAAGUUUCGCCCAUGGAAAAUCAAUUUGCUGGAGCGCUUACAUCGACCCCCCUUUAUAUUAGGAAGAGGAGGAGGCGGCUUUCAUGCCUUCCUCGAUGCAUCUCCCCGAAUUUCUUCCUUCUCCAGGGCUGAGACCUCGCCGAUGAGCAGUUUCUUUCAAACAUCAAGAUUACCAAGCACAAUGCAAGUCAGUAUACAAAAUAAUUAUGUUUCAACUCAUGUACGCCUAAGGUGUUGGCUGCAUGUUGUCAUGAAAAUAGUAGCUACACGGAUCAUCAGAUUAAGGAGUAGGAAAUAGUAAUACAGAAGUGUCCUACUUCUACUACCCACGAAGGCGAGACGUCGGUGCGGUGUCAUGCCCCAUCCCCUUGACGGCCCUGCGCACCGCCGAGAUGGAGUUCGACUAAG